UGGCGCCCUAGUAAACGGAAAAACCGAAAAAAAAAAAACUGCGGCCGUCACCGUGCUGGUUGAGGUGUGAGAUGGUUUGGGGUUUUAUAGGGUUUAAGGCUGUGCGGAGGAAACCCUAGCUUGCUUUUAGGAGGAGAAAUGGAGGGCUUAAACGUUUCAGAUGCUAAUUUGAUCGUGCACUUACAUCCCUCGAAGAGUAACAACAUAUACGACGCGAUCCUCCGCGAGCUCAGCUCGUUGCUUUUCAAGUUUAAUGAAAAUUUUGAUGGUGUUGUGUUGGCUUAUGAGUUCAACAUUCUAGAUAAGAAUGCGAAGAUUCUAAUUGGGAUUCAUCCUUUUUUCGGUGUGAGACUAAAAGCGAAGUUGUUACUUUUUUCUCCUAAACCUGAUAUGCUUUUAGAAGGGAAAGUGGUGAAACUUUCUCAAGGAUCCAUUCAUCUUAUUGUUCUUGGCUUUUCAUCUGCUACUAUAAUAGAUGAGGACAUUCGUGAAGAAUUUCUAUUCAAAACUAAACAUGAAGAGGAAGUAUUUAUUAGCAAAUUUCACAAGCGGCAUGUGAUAAAGAUUGGAAAUAUGCUAAGGUUCCUAGUCAAAAGUUUUGAUGAGGAAAUACUGCAUAUAUCUGGCUCUCUAGUUCCACCUCACACUGGAAGCAUUUGGUGGUUAGAUAGACAUUCAAAAGAAGUUUCACAACCUGACAGGGGUAACAAGAGCAGAGAAGCUGAGGAAGAAACCAUCCUGCAGGCGAAUGGUACUGUUGGUGGCACAGAGGUAUUUUCGAUCAACAAUGACCACAAAAUCAAGAAGUCAAAAAGAAAAAGGAUAAGAGAAGAAAGCUGAAGGCUGCUAUAGGGUGUUCAUUGUGCUUAUUUUGUUCUCAGGUCAUUUUUAAAUCCCCUAUAGAAUCAAAUGCAUUUGUUUUGAAACUAGAUGAAAAGUUAUCCGGGUCAAAAAGUGGAUACUUGUGUUUAUUAACAAAUUGAAUUUGACUUUCAUGACUUGGCAUGAGCAGAUGAUGUGAAAGAGAUCAAAAAAUUUAGCCCAACUAGUGACUACUACAAGUAAACCAUUGUAGUUUUGCAGAGAUCUAUUUUUAAUGAGUAGAUCCCUGUAUGAACUCUCUGACAGACUCACUUUUAACCUCAAUUUUUCUAGGUUCAAGUCCAUUAUAACCAGUAAUAAUGAUUUAGGCAAGUUGGAAUUCUUGAUAUGUACUGAGUGUGGAGUUCUUGCUGUCACCUCUAGGAAUUUAAAGAGGUUUUUGAAAUGUAUUUAUGACUGGUGAAUCGCUUUAUGUCCAGAGGCCUGCUGAUGCAAAGUUCAAGGGGAACGUUGUAGAAUGAAGAACCUAAACCAUUAAAUUUUUAACUUACCAUUUCAAUUUGCAAUGCUCCUUUUACAGUUUUGCUGUAUAAUAUAGCCAUUCCCCCCCUUUAUGAUUUUGAAGGGCUUAGUUACUUUUUUUUCGUUUUUAAGGGCUUAGUUGUUUAGGUUAUGUUCGUUAGUAUUUUCAAGGCUUGUUGUAAUAUUCAUUUGUAAACUUCACACUGAUUUUAGUGCCAGAACACCUUCAUGCUAGUGCA